rnacentral:misc_RNA from 1 species
AACUUUUGACAACGGAUCUCUUGGCUCUCGCAUCGAUGAGAACGCAGCGAAAUGCGAUAAGUAAUGUGAAUUGCAGAAUUCAGUGAAUCAUCGAAUCUUUGAACGCACCUUGCGCUCCCUGGUAUUCCGGGGAGCACGCCUGUUCGAGUGUCGCGAAAUUUCUCAAGCUUGGAUGGCUUUUUUGUCUGUCCUUAGCCUUGGUUGUUGGGCUUUGCCGUGUCCUUUGUUGGGACGGCUGGCCUUAAAAGCAUUAGCUGAUCCUCGUGUGGCACUGGUUCUACUCAGCGUGAUAACAGUCUGAUCGCUGAGGACAUCUUUUGGGAUGGCCAGUUCUCAUUUGGGUUGCUUCCAAACUUGGUUUUGCAGAUUCUUCAAUCUGUGUUCCACUUUUCAGCUUUGACCUCGAAUCAGGUGGGACUACCCGCUGAACUUAAGCAUAUCAAUAAGCGGAGGCU